UCAUUUCCUUCUUCUUCCUCCCCUGCAUCUCAGCAUCUCAAUCUGAGUCUUUUGUUUGUGGUGGUAAACUAGGGCAGUCCAGCCUGGCACAGCAUAGCUUCCCAGGACCAGAAUGGUGAGGUUGGAAGGGAAAAAAGGUUGGUGAAAAUGACCCCUCCUUCUGACGUCACCGCUGCUCUAUUUCAGGCCUGCGGGGUGCAUCCCCUCUGCCUUGUCUACUUUCUCAGGCCACUCCAGAGAAAACACUCACUACUCAGAGCUCUCAUUUCAUUUCCACAAGGACAAGGUUUGCCGCGGCCUCCAUUUCUAAGGAAGGGAUGGGCAGACACAGUCUGAGUGUUCCCCUCAAAUAUAAAAAUCUCUUUUCUACCCAAAGACAAAGAAGUGUUUUCCUUUUUAUAGGUCAUUUGUUAUAUGAGGGCUAAAAUAUUGAAAGAAAUAAAGGAAAGUUUAAUUUUAAUUAAACCUUCAAGUCAGUUUUCAUUGUAAUCUUAAUUAAAGGGAUCAGCUAGAAGCUUGAACCAAAGGAUCAGGCAGGGCUCAAAUGAACACUAGGGGUCAGCUUUUAUUCUGGGGCUAAGAACCUUUCCUAGGCAUUCAUUCCCACUGCGUGUCUCUCCUUCAUCUCUGAAGGAUCUGCAUGAAGUUCCCGAAGGCUUGGUCACCAUGGGCCAGGGAAUGAAAAGACAAAGUACAGUGUGUGAUGGAAGGAAAAUGAGAAAACUAUAAGCCACCCUCGCAGGCCAACAGAAAUAUAAUAAAGAAAGUGAUCAGGGAAUUGGCCCAGAACCAACCCGAGCAAGACAUUCAGUUUUCUGUAAAAUGAAGGGUUUGUACUAGACAUGUCUAUAAAGCUCAGUCACAGCUGCAUCAUUUUGGGAUUCCAAGUGUCCUAAGUGAUACAGAUUUUGCAGAAAGCCCUGGUACCCACAGUUUAUCUUUUCCCUACUUUGUGGUCCUUUUCUCCACCCUAUCCUCCAAUACGUGACUUCUAAAACUCUUAUGUCAGGAAAUGCUACCAGAGGUUAUCAUUUAAGAGGGUAUGCAAAGGAGGCAGGCAGGAGACCCCAAUUCAUGGGCUAAGAUAGCAGUUGGAGAAGGUGCAUCUUCUUGUCUGAAAUGGAACUGCAGAUGCAGUUCACCUCAGGUUGCAACAGACCGGAGGCUCCUGCUCAUACAGGGCUCAUAUCAGAAUUAUGGGCAGAGAAAAUAUGAAGCAGCAAAGAAGAAACUGAAGCAAAAACAUGGCUAUCAGAUCAGAAGUUAUUUAGCCAUAGUGAUGGUGCAUUCAUCAAAUGAACUGGGUCUCCAAGAAAACACCACACAUUGUUACCAGUUCACUGCCAUCUGGAUGCAAAAUCCGGCACCGUUUCCUGCUGAAGCCCAG